UGGGUAACCUGCCUCAAAGAGGGGAAUAGCCUCCCGAAAGGGAAGAUUAAUACCGCAUAAUAUGUUUUGGUCACAUGGCCUUAACAUCAAAGGAUUUCUUCGGAAAUUCACUUUGAGAUGGACCCGCGGCGCAUUAGCUAGUUGGUGAGGUAACGGCUCACCAAGGCGACGAUGCGUAGCCGACCUGAGAGGGUNAUCGGCCACAUUGGAACUGAGACACGGUCCAGCUCCGUAGG
rnacentral:rRNA from 1 species